GAUCCUGGCUCAGAACGAACGCUGGCGGCAGGCUUAACACAUGCAAGUUGAGCGGGAUUGAUUGAUAGCUUGCUAUUAAUCAUGAGAGCAGCGCACUGGUGAGUAACACGUGGGAACAUACCUUUUGGUGGGGGACAACAGUUGGAAACGACUGCUAAUACCGCAUAAGCCCUGAGGGGGAAAGGAGAGAUUUGCCGAAAGAUUGGCCCGCGGAAGAUUAGGUAGUAGGUGGGGCAACGGCCUACCUAGCCGACGAUCUAUAGCUGGUCUGAGAGGACGAUCAGCCACAUUGGAACUGAGACACGGUCCAGACUCCUACGGGAGGCAGCAGUGAGGAAUAUUGGGCAAUGGAGGAAACUCUGACCCAGCCAUGCCGCGUGAGUGAAGAAGGUUUUCGGAUUGUAAAGCUCUUUCGGACGGGAAGAUAAUGACGGUACCGUCUAAAGAAGCACCGGCUAACUUCGUGCCAGCAGCAGC
rnacentral:rRNA from 1 species